rnacentral:rRNA from 1 species
UACGAGGACCCCGAGCAUUAUCCGGAAUUACUGGGCGUAAAGCGUGCGCAGCUGGUUGUAUUAGUCUGACGUUAAAUUUCGAGGCUUAACUUCGAAGCUGCGUUGGAAACGGUACGACUAGAGCGGGUAAGAGGUAGGCGGAACGUGCAGUGUAGGGGUGAAAUCCAUUGAUAUUCGGAGGAACACCAGUGGCGAAGGCGGCUCACUGGCUCGAUACUGACGCUGAGGUGCGAAAGCGUGGGGAGCAAACAGG